rnacentral:rRNA from 1 species
UACGAAGGUGGCAAGCGUUGUUCGGAUUUACUGGGCGUACAGGGAGCGUAGACGGUUGGAUAAGCCCUCCGUGAAAUCUCCAGGCUUAACCUGGAAAGUGCAGAGGGGACUGUUCAGCUAGAGGAUGGGAGAGGAGCGCGGAAUUCCCGGUGUAGCGGUGAAAUGCGUAGAGAUCGGCAGGAACACCCAGGGGGAAACCAGCCGGCUGGGGACGAGCUGACGCUCAGGGGCGAAAGCGUGGGGAGCGAACCGG